rnacentral:tRNA from 1 species
CCCCUGAUGGUCUAGCGGUAAAAAUUCCUGGUUUUCACACAGGCGGCCCGGGUUCAACUCUCGGUCAUGGAG